ACAAAACUAAAGUUGAAAUGUCAUUUUAGAAAAUAUUUUUUAAAGGUCAUUUUAGAAGCUAAUAAAAAAGGUGGCAAAUUCAGUUAUUUGUAAUCAGUAAGUGCAUUGGAAUAUAUGAUAAACUGUAUGAUUAUAAGAUUUCAAAUGUUUCAUUUCAAAUGCAAUCUAGGUAUAAGGCACUUAUUUUCAAAAUCAUCUUAUGGGCCAAGAAAAAACUGUCACAAGGAGUUUGAUAAAGUGAAGUAUCAAAAAAUAUAGCAGCUUCCUGAAACUUUAUAGUUAAGACAAUACUACCUCAUUUCUUUUGCCCUUACUUCCUUUUUUCUGUUUGUUUUUAAAUGGUCGCACCUGCACCCACGGCACAUGGAUGUUCCCAGGCCAGGGAUUAAGUCUGAGAUGCAAUCUAUGCUGCAGCUGCAGCAACACAGGAUCUUUAACCCACUGAACCAGGCUGGGGAUCAAACCUGUGCCUCCUCAGAGACCCGAGUCCGAUUCUUAGCCCACGGCACCAUAGCAGGAACUCCUCCCUUGCUUCCUUUAUGGGCUAACUUACUGUCUUUCUCGCACUCUUGUGAAAGAGAGGGCAGAAUGUUCUCAGUGCUGGGCAAACUCUUGUGGUCCUCAGUUCAUAACUUUAUACCCGACUAUUUACUAGGUUAGUUAUUUGGGGAAGGUCUGAGGUUAUAGAUUCGCACUGGAAUGGAAAACCUAUCCUGCUCUCCAUCCUGCAGUAGAGAAAUACUGUCUUUAUUCUUUCGCUAGUGAGGCCUCUUGGUGCUUUGGAUGGUUUAUCUGACGGGGAUCUUCACAGAAAGUUCCGUAGAGUCACCCUGCAGGGGAGGAAGCUGUGCCCUCUUCCUGUGUGCCUUGAGGCCGACGGAACCACAAGACCACCCCUUUCUAAGUGCUGAUGAGCCCUUAGCACAAAAGAGAUCUGGCAUUACGGGGCACCAGGAUUCUGCUGAGAUAGUAAACCAUAUCCACGCCCAUAGUAAAUGUCACUCGCAACAAAAUGAAGAACUAAAACUCCUGAAAUCUCCUGAGUUCACCAUACCUAAAAAUAUGAAUAAACUGGCUUUUAUUUUAAGUCAAUAGGAAACCUUCUAGAGUGGAAAUAAAAGGAAGCAGGAGCUGAGAUCAGAGAGCAGCAACCAGUUCUCCCAUAGUCCAGACACCAGCUAGAGGGCCUACGAUUUAGUUCAAUUCGGACACUGAUUACCUGGAGAAAGCAUCAGAUCUCAUAAGCCCCGGCCAAGAGUGGAUAUUCUCCAGCCUCACCUUUAGCAGCCAGAGGUUGAUGUCUACUGGGUGUGCCUAGCCCAGCAUCCACUAGAUCUGCCCAGUCCAAUGCCAGAGCCACUGGGCACACGCGCUGCUUGUGCCCUGGAAAUGGAGCUAAUCCGAAUGGAGGCGUGCUCUACCUGUAAAACACAUUCCAGGUUUUUGAAAAUUCUGUAUGAAA